UACGUAGGGGGCAAGCGUUAUCCGGAUUUACUGGGUGUAAAGGGAGCGUAGACGGCAAUGCAAGUCCGAUGUGAAAACCCAGGGCUCAACCGUGGGAGUGCAUUGGAAACUGAAUGGCUGGAGUGCAGGAGAGGUAAGCGGAAUUCCUGGUGUAGCGGUGAAAUGCGUAGAUAUCAGGAGGAACACCAGUGGCGAAGGCGGCUUACUGGACUGUAACUGACGUUGAGGCUCGAAAGCGUGGGGAGCAAACAGG
rnacentral:rRNA from 1 species